AGCCGCCUGCAGUCGCUCGCGGCAGCGCCUCAGCUCCUCCUGCAGGCGGGGCAGGCGGCUGGCCCGCUCCCGCAGCGCCUCUGCCUCCUCGCGGUACAGCUCGGCCCGCUUGGCCUGUCCCGACAGCGCCUGGGCCUGGGCCAGACGGUGUGGAGCUGAGAACAGCCAGCCGCGGGCCAGAGGGAUUAGGGACGGGAAGGAGCCGGGUUGGGAGGGAGGCAAUGGGACCGGGUGCGGGGAGGUUAAGGAAUGCCGCGGUGGCGGGGAGCAUGUGAGCGCACCUCCUGGCGGAGCCUUCUUAUUUCGGCCUCCAAACCCUGCACCUCGGCCUGGGAGUCUAGCUGCAGCUCGGCCUUCUCCUCCCUGGAGGGAAGGGGAGGCUGGGGAGGGUCUGGGGGCCCACAACCCCCAGCCCUUCCCAGGCCUGACCCCUCCUGUAGCCACCAGGGCUAGGGUCCCAUCCAGGCUUAAUCUGCCCCUCUCCACUCAGUCCCCUUCCCAGGCUGCGCACACUCACAGCUCCUGCCGCAGACGCCGCAGCUGAGCCUUGGCGUUGGCCAGCUGCAGGGCCAGAUGGUGCGAGGGGCCCUCAGCGGGAGCCCUAGAGGGAGCCUCAGGCCUCAAGCAGAGGGGUUCUCGCUCCAGCAGCAGUUCAGCCAGCCGCUGUAGGUCAGGGGUCAAGGGUCAGGACUAAUUUAUCCAACGCCUCUGCACAUCGACCCCCAACCACAACGCCAGACAUGGGAUUGUGGUCUGGGGUCUUGGGCUAUCUGGUUGUGACAUCCCCGAUGGCCCAAGACCUCAGACCACAACCCCAUGCCUGGGCCCCAAACUUCCACCUCCCUUGCACAACCGGCUCCCUGAUGGUCCUCCAGUUCCCCAAGCUGAGUCCACGAUGCUCCUGCUGCCCCUACCUGGACCCCCAGGUCACGCUCCCGUGCCAGCUUCGACAGUGUCCCCAUCAGGCUCCGGGACAGCAUCUCCAGCUCGGCAGGUGCCAGCUCCCCAGGCUCUGGCCCAGACAGUGCCAGCACCACGCCGGUCCCCGGCUGGGUCACCUGGGGCGCAGGGAGAGCAGUUCAGUGGAAGCUGCGGUGUGGCAAGGGCGUCCCAGGUGCCAUACCAGUCUGGGCUGCCGACCCGUCUCAGUACCUCCUGGAUGGCAGCGGCCAGCUCGCUCUGGACCUCGAGACUGAGGCCCUGGAUGUGGCGGAUGAAGAGUUCCCGGUGCUCACACUGAGGGGAGACAGGAAGGAGAGCUGGUGCAGGAUCUCCCUCCUCUGCCGCCAAAGCUCGACCCUAACCUUUCCUUCCCACCGCCGGCUCACCUGUACUGACGCUCCCAACAGUAGCCGAAGAACGCCUUCCAGCUGCUCCACCGCUUCUUCUGCAAGGCACAUGCCACAAGGGGUUAACUGGGGCGGGGAAGGUAGAGUAGUACGGGGGCAGAGGCAGGAGGGGGUGGGUGGGGAGAGCACCUGAGAGAGGGUCGAAUCCCAAUGUCUGGAGGUCUGGGGGUGGCGAUAGGAUCAGCAGCUGCAGCUCCUCCUGGAGGCAGAGGGGCAGACUAUAUGAGGGGCCUUCCCGAAGUGGCUCCCCUUCCCCUCCCGUCUCCGCCUUUCUCUCGAGACCCCUUACCUGGUAGAAGUCCCUCAGUCGGCCCCACAGGUGGUUCAGGUUCCACACUCGCCAGGCAGCAGGUCCGUCAAGGCCUCUGAGCAUCCGAGGUCCCCCUCGGGAGCUGGGGGCACUAUGGGCCGGAGGUGGGCUCGAGGACCCGCCUCCGGUCAACAGGCCUCGCCCACCGUCCCUCAGGCCCCGCCCACCCGCUUCCCCUCCCCUCAGAUCCUUCCCCGCCACCGCCCCGGCCCGAUGCCCCUUACAUGAUGCCCAGCACCCGGAGGAGCAGGGCCCCAUCGCUGAGGCGCAGGAACCUCUUCUCCAACCAAAGGGGCGGCUCUUCCUCCUCUUCCUCUUCUUCCCCCUCCGACUCCUCCGCCUCCCCGACCAGCCCGGCCAGUCCCAGCGCCUGUGAGGAGCCAGAGGGGUCAGCCGACCAGCAGAGUGAACCCUGAGCCCCUCCGACCUGCCCCACAUCUCUGCAGGGCUAGCCCAGAGGUUGGCGGUGGAAGGCCCAGAGCUCCCCUGGCUCCAUGGGCAAUGACCAGACAGCCCUUCACCUCUCUGGGCCUUGUUUUCUCAAACUGAAACUGGAGAGGAUGACUCCAGCCUGCGACCUUCAAGGGCCUCAAAAGGGCUCUGGGCCUUGCUUGAGACAGAGUCUCAAUCUGUGACCUAGGCUGGAGUGCAGCUGCAAGAUCACAACUCACUGCAACUUCAACCUCCUGGGCUUAAGCAAUCCUCCUACUUCAGCCUCCUGAGUAACUGGGACUAUGGGUGUGUGCCACCACACCUGGCUAAUUCUUUUGCUUGUUUUUUGUAGAAACAGAGUCUCACUGUGUUGCCCGGGCUGGUCUCGAACUCCUGGGCUCAAGUGAUCCUCCUGCCUUGGCCUCCUGAAGUGCUGAGAUGACAGUGUGAGCUGCCUCACGCAGCCCCCAUUCUACACCUCUGAAGUGAGUUUACAUGGUACAGUUGUUGUCUGGCUAGCUGCAGUCCCAACAUCACUGUCAGGACCCACACCUAAAAAGCACCAGCAUCAAAUCCUUCAGAAGAGUGUCAGCAGCUUGGAAGAAAUCCUAGAGGCAAGCAGAACCCUUUUUAGCCCUGGGACUCAAAUGGUGGGAAACCCCAGGGGAAGGGAACCAGGCUUGUCAGUGACACUCCCUUUUUUUUUUUUUUUUUUUUGGUGAGACGGAGUCUCGCUCUGUCUGUCACCCAGGCUGGAGUGUAGUGGUGCAAUUUCGGGUCACUGCAACCUCCGUCUCCCGGGUUCAAGCGAUUCUCCUGCCUCAGCCACCUGAGUAGCUGGGAUUAUAGGCACCUGCCACCACGCCCAGAUACUUUUUUGUAUUUUUAGUAGAGACGGGGUUUCACCAUGUUGGCCAGGCUGGUCUCAAACUCCUGACCUCAGGCAAUCCGCCCGCCUUGGCCUCCGAAAGUGCUGGGAUUACAGGUGUGAGCUACCGCCCCCACCCUGUCAGUGACACUCCCAGAGCAGAGUGAAAAGUCGGCUCCAUUUCCUCUGCACAAUUGCAAAGCUGGCUUAAGAGCUCCUGGCUGUUUUAUGGCUGUUUUAUGGAAUGUUUGCAGCAGUACUGCUCUCCGUAGAACUCUCAAGGACUCAGAGAAGGAGGUGGCAGAGAGACACAGACAUCACGACUCUCAGACCAAAAAUGAUUCACACGAGUCGGACUCCAAAUGUGAAGGAGUUUUCUGAACAUGGCUGGACGAUGAAUGUGAUGGCUGGAACUCAAGCAGCCACAGUGGAUCAUAAGGGACGGUGUCUUGCUAUGUUGUCCAAGCUGACCUCAAACUGGCCUGAAGCAAUGCUUCCACCUCAGCUGCCAGAGGAAUCAGGAUUACAGGCCUGAGCCACUGCAGCCAGCCAGUUUGUUAUUUUAAUGUAAAUUCUUAGUAAACAACUCUCUUGUCCUUUUAAAAUCCAAUUCAACUGCUGCUAAUCGGAGUGUAUAUUCAGGGCAACUUGAAUCUGUGCUCCUGGGAUGCAGUCCUCAAGCUUGGCCCAAAUAAAGUCUCUGCUGAUAUUAA